CACACACAGUUUAUAUGUGAUUCUGGGCCCCUACAGGUGAAGUGGUGCAUUACGCUAAACAGCAAUUACUUUGAUUAACACCGAAACUUAAGCAAAAUAGUUGUUGAGAAAACUUAACACACAUGUUAAGGGAACUUUAUAAACAUUUUGAACUCACUGAUCCGAGCAGAAGUUGGGGUCAGACCCAGGGUUAAGCAUAGUUCAGGUUGCCUUGCCGUCAGAUAAUCAACCAUCAGGCUUAUUUCUCUCUCCGAUUUCCCCAGCACUGUAUAAAUGAGACAACGUGCUUUGUCUUCUGUGGUCGUCUUCCCCUCUACAGUCUUCUUCUCCUCGUCAUUCAACACAUUCAUCUCCCUAAGGUAACGCAGGAGAUUGAUGACAUCGUGGUCCGACAACGUGUAGACUAAUUUAGAGCCAAUCCUUCCAAGUUCUGAAAUACAAAUCAAGAGAAAAGGCAAAUUAAACAAAUUUAAGUUUCUUCUCAACCAAAUUAUCUCUGCAUUGACAAUUUCUGGGAUAAAAAUUGAUAAAGUCUUUAAAAUAUACACUCAAAAUCACAACUCG
ensembl:lncRNA